rnacentral:lncRNA from 1 species
GGAGAUCCGGUGGGUCCCUUUGCCAAAAUCUAUGCUAAGUGCGCUGGAUUGCACUCGGCAAAGACGGAGCAUUUGCCGGGUGUUAGGGUCAUAACACUUGGUAAAGAAGCUUUACUAGUUCCCAGGUGUGCCUUCUUUGUCGAGUGCUAUGGUCACUUCACUCGGCAAAAACACUUUUUGCCGAGUAUAACACUUGACAAAGUGACUAGAGACCCCCUUUUACUUAUUAUUUAUUAUUCCAUCCAAACAAACAAAACAUAUAUCACAUAAUCAUCACGGAGUUCACAGAACCAUCACAUACAUCAUAGAGACCACAUAUCUCACAAAUACCACAAAUAUCACAAGUAUUUCACAAACAUCAUUAAGUUUAGACCAAGUAUUUCCAACAUCAACAAGUUUCACAAACAUAAGUAUUACCAACAUUCACAAAAAUAAGUAUCACAAGUUUCACAAGCAUAGUUUUCACAAAUCACCACUAAGUCACUACCGGAAUCGGGUGCUUUUGCCGAGUGCAUGGAGCACUCGGCAAAGCCCGAUAAACACUCGGCGAAGUCUUUGCCGAGUGUGACACUCGGCAAGAAAGCUCGGCGAACAGUACAUCAGCAACGACUUCUUUGUCGAGUACUUUUUAUCGGGCACUUGAUAAAGACUUUGUCGAGUGUCACUCGAUACUCGACAAAGAAAAUCCACCGUCACAACACCUAGUAACGGAGACGACGCCUUUGCCGAGUGUUCUAGGUGACACUCGGCAAAGAAAUUACCUUUGCCGAGUGUCACCUAAUACACUCGGCAAAAAGAUUACCUCUUUGUUGAGUGUUCAUCAGCCUGCACUUGGCAAAGGGUCCACUAGAGGGGUCCUUUGUCAGUUUCUUUGCUGAGUGCUAGGGCCACAACACUCGGGAAAUAAGCUUUACCGGUGUCUAGGUGUUCCUUCUCUGCCGAGUGCUAUGGCCCUGACACUCGGCAAAGCACCUUUUUGCCGAGUGUUACACUCAGCAAAGUGAUCAGUAUACACCUUUUUAAUUUGUUUUUGCUAUUCCAUCCAAACAAACAAAAUAUAUCACAUAUACAUCAUAGAUAUCACAUAAUCAUCACAGAUAUCACAUAUACAUCACAUAUCUCACAAACACCAUAAAUCAAUCAAGUUCUCACAGCAUUACCAACAUGUUCGGACACAAACAUAAGUAUCCAACACUCAAGAACAUAAGUCUCAAGUAUCUCACAAAGCACUACCAACAUCUAACAAGUUCAGAUCGGGUUAUCUCACAAAGUAUGAACAACACUAAGAAAGAUAAUAUCUCAUCGAGGUGGGCGACUGGACUGGUGCGACGAUGGGCUGGGCGAUCCAUGAGGGUUGUUGGAUGCCGCCCCAGAUUGUCCCUGCACAGAGAAGAGAUUGCAUGUGUUACACCAGAUGCAUUACCAACAUCUAACUAGAAUUUUGAUACUCACAGGAGUAUGGAACAGAGCAGGGUCAACUAUAGGGAACAAUGGAGGUGGUGGAGCGAAACCCUGUGUGGCGCCAAGGCUCUACAUGUACUGGAACAUCUCUAUCAUCCUCUCCUAAUCUACCAGGCGUGCCUCCUGCUCCGCCAUCAUCCUCGCUUCCAUCUCCUGAUGUUUCCUCCUCUCUGUUUCUAGCUGGGUCUGUAAUAUUCCAAGGCAAUGUUAUAGUAACUCAAAGAGAAGGUAUAUAACUCAAGGAAUGACGAGUUACAUAAGCACUAACCUCGAGUUGUUGUAUGUGAUGAUGUGAGUUGUCCUGUCCAUGUCGUAUGGUUGGACUCAAGCCCGUGCUCCUUGCUCGCACCUGAGACAGUGGGAGUGGACGACGAGUCGAUUGCCCCAUCGGCAAUCUAGUACCGCCCAUGUCUCUUGCCUCCUCCGACCCUCAUGAGGACAUCGGGGUCGAUCUGCUCGGUCCUCGAAUCGUAUUUUGGGCCAUGGACCUCCUGUGCCAUGGCAGUGUAGUCAUGAAGGCGGCUAUAGACGGCGGGGUUGUUGUACGCUUCGGGCCCGUCAUCCGGGUUGUAGGUGACGUCGGACAUCGCCUUGCCCUUAUGGGCCAUAGCAUAGGCCAAGAAGAUAGAGCAAGGCUGGCCACCAUGUGAUGUCGGCUGCAAGAAAACUAACGAGAUAGUUAGAAAUAAUAUAUAAUCCAGUGUUAUAUACCUAAAUAAAAAAGAGGGCGUACCCACGCUUCUGCAUAUUAGCCUAGGUUGUGGCUACCUUGGUGGUGGGAGGGGCCUUGCAUCAUCAGACGUCGUUCCCGGCUAGCAUUGUGCGCCUCGUCCCACUCAGGCGAGUACCACCUAUUCACCAUCUGCUCCCAGCACAGAGGAUGUGUGGCGCACCAAUAUGGAAUCAUCUACUAAGUAAACACGCACACCUCAUAUCAAAAGAUAAAAUUAAGGAAAAAUUAAAGUGUUGUAUAUUAAAGUGUUGUAUUUACCUGCAGGUGAAAGGGAAAUAGUCUCAAUAUUUCCUAUAACCGAUUUUGGUGUUUGACGACCAUCACAAACCUUGUAGACUAACCAGUUUGCCCAGUUGAUCAUUUCACAGGUGCAUAAGUUCAUCUACAACGAUUCUAAAUCGACUGUCCGGACUACCAUAGAUUAUUCCGGACAGGAGAAGCUUUUUUUGGAAAAACACCUAAGCGUGGACCGUCCGCAACACCAAAGUGAGCCUCGGACAGGAACACUGCAUAGACACAAGUCAACACUACGGACUGUCCGAUGGAGAUGCAAGCACCGUCCGAGACCAAGCGUGGACCGUCCGGCCUCAGGCGCGGACCGUCCGGUCGGUGAAACCAGAAAAACCCAAAGGUGACAGGUUCGGUAAAAUGUAUUUUUAGCGUCCUCGCGGACCGUCCGGGGUGCACGACCGGACCGUCCGCGACUGCUUUAUCUGACAUCUGACGACACAUUAAAUGCUCUAUAGCCGUUGAUAUAGCCGUUACUGCUGACCGUUGUGAUUUUAGCCGUUGAUGUGUAGGGCCGGACCAUCCGGACCAGGGGCGCGGACCGUCCGCUGUUGGUAGGAAAGGGGCAAUGACUAGGAAGUGCUUGGGGGCUAUAAAUACAACCCCAACCACCUCCAUUCACUUUACCCAAGCACUCCAAUCUUUCACAUUCAAUACAAGAGCUAGCAAUCCAUUCCAAGACACAAUCAAAGCUUCCAAUCUCUCCAAGUUUCACAAUUGAGACAAGUGAUCAUUAGUGAUUAGUGACUUGAGAGAGAGAGUGAUAUGUGUGUUAUUUGUUGCUCUUGGCGCUUGAAUUUUGCAAUCGUGCUUUCUUCUUUUCCCAUUCUUAUUCUCAAGUGACUUGUAAUCAAAGCAAGAGACACCAAGUAUGUGGUGGUCCUUGCGGGGUUUAAGUGACCCGUUUGAUUAAGGAGAAAGCUCACUCGGUCUAGGUGACCGUUUGAGAGAGGGAAAGGGUUGAAAGAGACCCGGUCUUUGUGACCACCUCAACGGGAACUAGGUUCUUUGGAAUCGAACCUCGGUAAAACAAAUCACCGUGUUCAUCCGCUUUAUUUCUUGGUUGAUUUGUUUUCCCUCUUUUUCGGACUCGGAUUUAAUUCUAACGCUAACCCCGGCUUGUAGUGUGUGCUUAAGUUUGUAAAUUUCAGAUUCUGUCUAUCCACCCCCUCUAGGCGACUUUCAGCAGGUACUGGUCCCUGGUCAACGACAUGGUUCGGGCUUGCUGCUUGGUCACCUUCUCCCCAAGGACGGAGUCAUGGUAGCUGACGAUGGCCUAGAUUCGUGCCUCGUAGUGCAUGUCCAUGACGAGCUUCUUACAGCUCGUGGUGGCCACCACAUCCGCCCUAGCCUCGUAUUGAGCCUCGCAUAUGAAUAAAUCAUGCAUACAAAAACGAUGUAUCCAUACAUUAUUUCAAGAAUGUGCAACGAAUGCGACAUAAUUUAUAUUAUAGUAAGACUUACCCACAGCUCUUGCUUCACCCGCUCCGCAGUAUGGGACGCUGAGGGAGACUCGCGGGACCUCGCAGGCAGACGUUCCUCGAACCUGAGGCGUCCUGCUGAGUGUCGUCGUCGUCUUGCUGUGUCGCCUGCUGCUGGUCAUCGUCGUCCUGCGACGCCGCCUGCUGCUGGACGUUGUCGUCCUGUAGUGCCUCCUCCGUCGUCCUGCUCCUCCUCCCCCUCCUCCUCCUCAGCCAACCGCCCACCAUCUUUGUUCAACAACCUGCAAUUAAGAGUAAACAAAUAAGCACAUAUAAAAAGAUGUAUUUAGAAACAGGUGCGAAAUAAAAAAACUAUAGCAUUUGAAAGUCGCCUAGAGGGGGGGUGAAUAGGGCGAAACUGAAAUUCUAAAAAAUAAUCACAACUACAAGCCGGGUUAGCGUUAGAAAUAUAAUCGAGUCCGCGAGAGAGGGUGCAAAACAACUCGCAAGCAAAUGAAGAGUGUGACACACGGAUUUGUUUUACCGAGGUUCGGUUCUCGCAAACCUACUCCCCGUUGAGGUGGUCACAAAGACCGGGUCUCUUUCAACCCUUUCCCUAUCUCAAAUGGUCCCUCGGACCAAGUGAGCUUUCUCUUCUCAAUCACUUGGAACACAAAGUUCCUACAAGGACCACCACAAGAUUGGUGUCUCUUGCCUCAAUUACAAGUGAGUUUGAUCGCAAUGAAGAAUCAAAGAAAGAAGAAAGCAAUCCAAGCGCAAGAGCUCGAAAGAACACAAGCAAAUCUCUCUCUCUAAUCACUAGGGAGUUGUAUGGAGUUUGGAGAGGAUUUGAUCACUUGGGUGUGUCUAGAAUUGAAUGCUAGAGCUCUUGUAAGUAGUUGAAGUGGGAAAACUUGGAUGACUUGAAUGUGGGGUGGUUGGGGGUAUUUAUAGCCCCAACCACCAAACUAGCCGUUUGGUGGGGCUAUCUGUCGUAUGGUGCACCGGACAGUCCGGUGCGCCAGCCACGUCACCAAACCCGUUGGGUUCCGACCGUUGGAGCUCUGUCUUCUGGGCCCGCCUGGAUGUCCGGUGGCACACCGGACAUGUACUGUAGAGUGUCCGGUGUGCCAGCGCGCGUGCCUGACUUCUGCGCGCUCUGGCGCGCAUUUAAUGCGCUGCAGGUAGCCGUUGGCGCUGAAGUAUCCGUUGCUUCGUUGUCACACCGGACAGUCCGGUGUACACCGGACAUGUCCGGUGAAUUAUAGCGGACUAGCCGUUGCGAAUUCCCGAAGCUGGCGAGUUCCAGAGCCGCUCUUCCUUGGAGCACCGGACACUGUCCGGUGUACACCGGACAGUCCGGUGAAUUAUAGCGGAGCGUCUCUGGAUUUUCCCGAAGGUGAUGAGUUUGACUUGGAGUCCUCUGGUGCACCGGACACUGUCCGGUGCACCAGACCAGAGGUGCCUUCGGUUGUCCCUUUGCUCUUUUGUUGAACCCAAAACUUGGUCUUUUUAUUGGCUAAGUGUGAACCUUUGACACCUGUAUAACUUAUACACUAGAGCAAACUAGUUAGUCCAAUUAUUUGUGUUGGGCAAUUCAACCACCAAAAUCAUUUAGGAACUAGGUGUAAGCCUAAUUCCCUUUCAAUCUCCCCCUUUUUGGUGAUUGAUGCCAACACAAACCAAAGCAAACAUAGAAGUGCAUAAUUGAACUAGCUUGCAUGAUGUAAGUGUAAAGGUUGCUUGGAAUUGAGCCAAUAUUAAUACUUAUAAGAUAUGCAUGGAUUGUUUCUUCAUUUUUAACAUUUUGGACCACGCUUGCACCACAUGUUUUGUUUUUGCAAAUUCUUUUGUAAAUUCUUUUCAAAGUUCUUUUGCAAAUAGUCAAAGGUACAUGAAUAAGAUUUUGCAAAGCAUCUUCAAGAUUUGAAAUUUUCUCCCCCUGUUUCAAAUGCUUUUCCUUUGACUAAACAAAACUCCCCCUUAAUGAAAUCCUCCUCUUAGUGUUCAAGAGGGUUUUGAUAUUAAUUUUGAAGAGGUUAUACCAAUUUGAAAUUAUAUCACAAGUAAGAUACCAAUUUGACAAUACUCUUUGAAGAACUAAAAUUUUUAGAAAUUGGUGGUGGUGCGGUUUUAGAAAUUGGUGGUGGUGCGGUCCUUUUGCUUUGGGCUCAUACUUUCUCCCCCUUUGGCAUGAAUCACCAAAAACAGAAUCAUUAGAGCCCUAGAAUUACGUUCUUCCCCUUUGGUCAUAAAUAAAUGAGUGAGGAUUGUACCAAAGACGAAGUCCUUUUGCUUUGAACUCUCCCCCAAAAGAUGGAGAGAUGCGCGGAGCAACGACGAGGGAUGAGUUACGGAGUGGAAGCCUUUUGUCUUCGCCGAAGACCCCAACUCCCUUUCAAUAUACCUAUGACUUGGUUUGAAAUAGACUUAAAAACACAUUAGUCAUAGCAUAUGAAAGAGACAUGAUCAAAGGUAUAUAGAAGAGCUAUGUGUGCAAAUCAACAAAAGAAGUUCCUAGAAUCAAGAAUAUUUAGCUCAUGCCUAAGUUUGUUAAACGUUUGUUCAUCAAGUGGCUUGGUAAAGAUAUCGGCUAAUUGAUCUUUAGUAUUAAUGUAAGAAAUCUCGAUAUCUCCCUUUUGUUGGUGAUCCCUUUAAAAGUGAUACCGAAUGGCUAUGUGUUUAGUGCGGCUAUGCUCAACGGGAUUAUCCGCCAUGCGGAUUGCACUCUCAUUAUCACAUAGAAGAGGGACUUUGGUUAGUUUGUAACCGUAGUCCCUAAGGGUUUGCCUCAUCCAAAGUAGUUGCGCGCAACAAUGGCCUGCGGCAAUGUACUCGGCUUCGGCGGUAGAAAGAGCAAUCGAAUUUUGCUUCUUUGAAGCCCAAGACACCAAGGAUCUUCCCAAGAACUGGCAAGUCCCCGAUGUGCUCUUUCUAUUGAUUUUACACCCCGCCCAAUCGGCAUCCGAAUAACCAAUCAAAUCCAAUGUGGAUCCCCUAGGAUACCAAAGCCCAAACUUAGGAGUAUAAACUAAAUAUCUCAAGAUUCGUUUUACGGCCGUAAGGUGAGCUUCCUUAGGGUCGGCUUGGAAUCUUGCACACAUGCAUACGGAAAGCAUAAUAUCCGGUCGAGAUGCACAUAAGUAUAGCAAAGAACCUAUCAUCGACCGGUAUACCUUUUGAUCGACGGAUUUACCUCCCUCGUCGAGGUCGAGAAGCCCAUUUGUUCCCAUGGGUGUCUUGAUGGGUUUGGCAUCCUUCAUUCCAAACUUGCUUAUAAUAUCUUGAGUAUACUUCGUUUGGCUUAGGAAGGUGCCCUCUUGGAGUUGCUUCACUUGAAAUACUAAGAAAUACUUCAACUCCCCCAUCAUAGACAUCUCGAAUUUUUGUGUCAUGAUCCUACUAAAUUCUUCACAUGUAGACUCGUUAGUAGACCCAAAUAUAAUAUCAUCAACAUAAAUUUGGCAUACGAACAAGUCAUUUUCAAGAGUUUUAGUAAAGAGUGUAGGAUCGGCCUUUCCGACUUUGAAUCCAUUUGCAAUAAGAAAAUCUCUAAGGCAUUCAUACCAUGCUCUUGGGGCUUGCUUGAGCCCAUAAAGCGCCUUAGAGAGCUUAUAGACAUGAUUGGGAUACUCACUGUCUUCAAAGCCGGGAGGUUGCUCAACAUAGACCUCUUCCUUGAUUGGUCCAUUGAGGAAGGCACUUUUCACGUCCAUUUGAUAAAGCUUAAAGCCAUGGUAAGUAGCAUAGGCCAAUAAUAUGCGAAUUGACUCAAGCCUAGCUACGGGUGCAUAGGUUUCACCGAAAUCCAAACCUUCGACUUGGGAGUAUCCUUUGGCCACAAGUCGAGCUUUGUUCCUUGUCACCACACCAUGCUCAUCUUGCUUGUUGCGGAAGACCCAUUUGGUUCCUACAACAUUUUGAUUAGGACGUGGAACUAAAUGUCAUACCUCAUUCCUAGUGAAAUUGUUGAGCUCCUCUUGCAUCGCCACCACCCAAUCCGAAUCUUGUAGUGCUUCCUCUACCCUAUGUGGCUCAAUAGAGGAAACAAACGAGUAAUGCUCACAAAAAUGUGCAACACGAGAUCUAGUAGUUACCCCCUUAUGAAUGUCGCCUAGGAUGGUAUCGACGGGGUGAUCUCGUUGGAUUGCUUGGUGGACUCUUGGGUGUGGCGGCCUUUGUUCUUCAUCCUCCUUGUCUUGAUCAUUUGCAUCUCCCCCUUGAUCAUUGCCAUUAUCUUGAGGUGGCUCAUUUGCUUGAUCUUCUACUUCAUCAACUUGAGCUUCAUCCUCAUUUUGAGUCGGUGGAGAUGCUUGCGUGGAGGAGGAUGGUUGAUCUUAUGCAUUUGGAGGCUCUUCGGAUUCCUUAGGACACACAUCCCCAAUGGACAUGUUCCUUAGCGCGAUGCACGGAGCCUCUUCAUCACCUAUCUCAUCAAGAUCAACUUGCUCUACUUGAGAGCCGUUAGUCUCAUCAAACACAACGUCACAAGAAACUUCAACUUGUCCGGAGGACUUGUUAAAGACUCUAUAUGCCCUUGUGUUUGAAUCAUAUCCUAGUAAAAACCCUUCUACAGUCUUAGGAGCAAAUUUAGAUUUUCUACCUCUUUUAACAAGUAUAAAGCAUUUGCUACCAAAGACUCUAAAAUAUGAAAUGUUGGGCUUUUUACCGGUUAGGAGUUCAUAAGAUGUCUUCUUGAGGAUUCGGUGUAGAUAUAACCGGUUGAUGGCGUAGCAGGCGGUGUUGACCGCCUCGGCCCAAAACCGAUCCGAAGUCUUGUACUCAUCAAGCAUGGUUCUUGCCAUGUCCAAUAGAGUUCUAUUCUUCCUCUCCACUACACCAUUUUGUUGAGGAGUGUAGGGAGAAGAGAACGCAUGCUUGAUGCCCUCCUCCUCAAGGAAGCCUUCAAUUUGAGAGUUCUUGAACUCCGUCCCAUUGUCGCUUCUAAUUUUCUUGAUCCUCAAGCCGAACUCAUUUUGAGCCCGUCUUAAGAAUCCUUUUAAGGUCUCUUGGGUAUGAGAUUUUUCCUACAAAAAGAAUACCCAAGUGAAGCGAGAAUAAUCAUCCACAAUUACAAGACAAUACUUACUCCCGCCGAUGCUUAUGUAAGCAAUCGGGCCGAAUAGAUCCAUGUGGAGUAGCUCAAGCGGCCUGUCGGUCGUCAUGAUGUUCUUGUGUGGAUGGUGAGUGCCAACUUGCUUCCCUGCUUGGCAUGCGCUACAAAUCUUGUCUUUCUCAAAAUGAACAUUUGUUAGUCCUAAAAUGUGCUCUCCCUUUAGAAGCUUAUGAAGAUUCUUCAUCCCAACAUGUGCUAGUCGGCGAUGCCAGAGCCAGCCCAUGUUAGUCUUAGCAAUUAAGCAAGUGUCGAGUUCAGUUCUAUCAAAAUCCACUAAGUAUAGCUGACCCUCUAACACUCCCUUAAAUGCUAUUGAAUCAUCACUUCUUCUAAAGACAGUGACACCUACAUCAGUGAAUAAACAGUUGUAGCCCAUUUUGCAUAAUUGAGAUACAGAAAGCAAGUUGUAAUCUAAUGAAUCUACAAGAAAAACAUUGGAAAUAGAAUGGUCAGGAGAUAUACCUAUUUUACCAAGACCUUUGACCAAACCUUGAUUUCCAUCCCCGAAUGUAAUAGCUCGUUGGGGAUCUUGGUUUUUCUCAUAGGAGGAGAACAUCUUCUUCUCCCCUGUCAUGUGGUUUGUGCACCUGCUGUCGAUAAUCCAACUUGAGCCCCCGGAUGCAUAAACCUACAAAACAAGUUUAGUUCUUGACUUUAGGUACCCAAAAGGUUUUGGGUCCUUUGGCAUUAGAAACAAGAACUUUGGGUACCCAAACACAAGUCUUUGACCCCUUGUGCUUGCCCCCAACAUAUUUGGCAACUACCUUGCCGGAUUUGUUAGUCAACACAUAUGAUGCAUCAAAAGUUUUGAAUGAAAAGUUAUGUUCAUUUGAUGCACUAGGAGUUUUCUUUUUAGGCAACUUAGCAUGGGUUUGUUGCCUAGAACUAGAUGUCUCACCCUUAUACAUAAAAGCAUGAUUAGGGCCAGAGUGAGACUUCCUAGAGUGAAUUCUCCUAAUUUUGCUCUCGGGAUAACCGGCAGGGUAUAAAAUGUAACCCUCGUUAUCCUGAGGCAUGGGAGCCUUGCCCUUAACAAAGUUGGACAAUUUCUUAGGAGGGGCAUUAAGUUUGACAUUGCCUCCCUGUUGGAAGCCAAUGCCAUCCUUAAUGCCAGGGUGUCUCCCACUAUAGAGCAUGCUUCUAGCAAAUUUAAAAUUUUCAUUUUCUAAGUCAUGCUCGGCAAUUUUAGCAUCUAAUUUUGCUAUAUGAUCAUUUUGUUGUUUAAUUAAAGCCAUGUGAUCAUGAAUAGCAUUAAUAUCAACAUCUCUACAUCUAGUACAAAUAGAAGUGUGCUCAACGGUAGAUGUAGAGGGUUUGCAAGAUUUUAAUUCUACAACCUUAGCAUGUAAUAUAUCAUUUCUACUUCUAAGGUUGGAAAUAGUAGCAUUGCAAACAUCAAAAUCUUUAGCCUUAGCAAUCAAUUUUUCAUUUUCAUUUCUAAGGCUAGCAAGAGACAUGUUUAAUUCUUCAAUCUUAGCAAGUAAAUCAUCAUUAUCAUUUCUAAGAUUGGGAAUUGAAAUAUUACUAACAUUUGAAUCAACCUUAGCUAACAAAUUAGCAUUUUCAUUUCUAAGGUUGUCUAUUGUCUCAUGGCAAGUGCUUAGCUCACUAGAUAAUUUUUCACAUUUCUCAACUUCUAGAGCAUAGGCAUUUUUAACUUUAACAUGCUUUUUGUUUUCCUUGAUUAGGAAGUCCUCUUGGGAGUCCAAGAGAUCAUCCUUCUCAUGGAUGACACUAAUCAAUUCAUUUAAUUUCUCUUUUUGUUGCAUGUUUAAGUUGGCAAAAAGAGUACGUAAGUUAUCUUCCUCAUCACUAGCAUUUUCAUCACUAGAGGAUUCAUAUCUAGUGGAGGAUUUAGAUUUAACCUUCUUCUUUUUGCCGUCCUUUGCCAUGAGGCACUUGUGGCCGACGUUGGGGAAGAGAAGUCCCUUGGUGACGGCGAUGUUGGCGGCGUCCUCGUCGUCGGAGGAGUCGCUAGAGCUUUCGUCGGAGUCCCACUCCCGACAAACAUGGGAAUCGCCGCCCUUCUUCUUGUAGUAUCUCUUCUUCUCCUUUCUUCUCCCCUUCUUGUCGUCGCCCCUGUCACUGUCACUAGAUAUAGGACAUUUUGCAAUAAAAUGACCGGGCUUACCACAUUUAUAGCACACUUUCUUGGAGCGAGGUUUGUAGUCUUUCCCCCUCCUUUGUUUGAGGAUUUGGCGGAAGCUCUUGAUGACGAGCGUCAUUUCCUCAUUGUCGAGCUUGGAGGCAUCGAUUGGUUGUCUACUUGGUGUAGACUCCUCCUUUUUCUCCUCCGUCGCCUUGAAUGCAACCGGUUGAGCUUCGAACGUGGAGGGACCGUCAAGCUCGUUAAUCUUCUGUGAGCCCUUGAUCAUAAACUCAAAGCUCACAAAAUUCCCGAUUACUUCCUCGGGAGUCAUUAGUGUAUAUCUUGGGUUGCCACGAAUUAAUUGAACUUGAGUGGGGUUAAGGAAAAUAAGAGAUCUUAGAAUAACCUUAACCACCUCGUGGUCAUCCCACUUUUUGCUCCCGAGGUUGCGCACUUGGUUCACCAAGGUUUUGAGCCGGUUGUACAUGUCUUGUGGCUCCUCCCCUUGGCGUAGACGGAAGCGACUGAGCUCCCCCUCGAUCGUUUCCCGCUUGGUGAUUUUGGUGAGUUCAUCACCCUCGUGCGUCGUCUUGAGUACGUCCCAAACUUCCUUGGCGCUUUUUAGUCCUUGCACCUUGUUGUACUCCUCCCUACUUAGAGAGGCGAGGAGUAUUGUUGUGGCUUGGGAGUUGAAGUGCUCGAUUUGGGCCACCUCGUCCUCAUCAUAAUCCUCAUCCCCUACGGAUGGUACCUGUGCUCCAAACUCAACAACAUUCCAUAUACUUUUGUGGAGUGAGGUUAGGUGAAAUUUCAUUAAAUCACUCCACCUAGCAUAAUCUUCACCGUCAAAAGUUGGCGGUUUGCCUAAUGGAACGGAAAGUAAUGGAGUAUGUCUAGAGGUACGAGGAUAAUGUAAGGGGAUCUUACUAAACUUCUUGCGCUCAUGGCGCUUAGAAGUUAUGGAGGGCGCGUCGGAGCCGGAGGUAGAUGGUGAUGAAGUGUCGGUCUCGUAGUAGACCACCUUCCCCAUCUUCUUUAUUUUGUCACCACUCCGAUGCGACUUGUGAGAAGAAGUCUUCUUCUCCUUCUUCUUUUCCUUCCUCUUCUCCUUGUUGCGGGACUCUCCCGAUAGGGCUUUCUCGUUGCUUGUAGUGGGCUUUUCACCGGUCUCCAUCUCCUUCUUGGCGCGAUCUCCCGACAUCACUUCGAGCGGUUAGGCUCUAAUGAAGCACCGGGCUUUGAUACCAAUUGAAAGUCGCCUAGAGGGGGGGUGAAUAGGGCGAAAGUGAAAUUCUCAAAAAUAAUCACAACUACAAGCCGGGUUAGGGUUAGAAAUAUAAUCGAGUCCGCGAGAGAGGGUGCAAAACAACUCGCAAGCAAAUGAAGAGUGUGACACACGGAUUUGUUUUACCGAGGUUCGGUUCUCGCAAACCUACUCCCCGUUGAGGUGGUCACAAAGACCAGGUCUCUUUCAACCCUUUCCCUCUCUCAAAUGGUCCCUCGGACCAAGUGAGCUUUCUCUUCUCAAUCACUUGGAACACAAAGUUCCUACAAGGACCACCACAAGAUUGGUGUCUCUUGCCUCAAUUACAAGUAAGUUUGAUCGCAAUGAAGAAUCAAAGAAAGAAGAAAGCAAUCCAAGCGCAAGAGCUCAAAAGAACACAAGCAAAUCUCUCUCUCUAAUCACUAGGGAGUUGUAUGGAGUUUGGAGAGGAUUUGAUCACUUGGGUCUGUCUAGAAUUGAAUGCUAGAGCUCUUGUAAGUAGUUGAAGUGGGAAAACUUGGAUGACUUGAAUGUGGGGUGGUUGGGGGUAUUUAUAGCCCCAACCACCAAACUAGCCGUUUGGUGGGGCUGUCUGUCGUAUGGUGCACCGGACAGUCCGGUGCGCCAGCCACGUCACCAAACCCGUUGGGUUCCGACCGUUGGAGCUCUGUCUUCUGGGCCCGCCUGGAUGUCCGGUGGCACACCGGACAUGUAUUGUAGAGUGUCCGGUGUGCCAGCGCGCGCGUGCCUGACUUCUGCGCGCUCUGGCGCGUAUUUAAUGCGCUGCAGGUAGCCGUUGGCGCCGAAGUAUCCGUUGCUUCAUUGUCACACCGGACAGUCCGGUGUACACCGGACAUGUCCGGUGAAUUAUAGCGGACUAGCCGUUGCGAAUUCCCGAAGCUGGCGAGUUCCAGAGCCGCUCUUCCUUGGAGCACCGGACACUGUCCGGUGUACACCGGACAGUCCUGUGAAUUAUAGCGGAGCGUCUCUGGAUUUUCCCGAAGGUGAUGAGUUUGACUUGGAGUCCUCUGGUGCACCGCGCGGACACUGUCCGGUGGCACACCGGACAGUCCGGUGCGCCAGACCAGAGGUGCCUUCGGUUGUCCCUUUGCUCUUUUGUUGAACCCAAAACUUGGUCUUUUAUUGGCUAAGUGUGAACCUUUGACACCUGUAUAACUUAUACACUAGAGCAAACUAGUUAGUCCAAGUAUUUGUGUUGGGCAAUUCAACCAUCAAAAUCAUUUAGGAACUAGGUGUAAGCCUAAUUCCCUUUCAGCAUUACAUCGAUUAAAAAUAAUCUUCAUAUGUGUCGGGGUUAGCCUAAGUGGCCUACACAUAGUGUGUCAUCAAAUCAUAGAGUUUCAAUGUAGACUGGCUAGGUUUCUACAGAUAGUGCAUCACAACUUUCUCGAAACAUUCUCAAAUUUUUAUCACAACCUCUACAUAUGAAAUCAUGACAUGUGGACAAGUUUCAUGAUUUUCUGAUUUUGUUUGUGUUUUAUACAAUUUUUAAACAAUUGGAUGGCAGUUCACGGUCAUGUUUAUUAAGCAUGGUGCUCGAAGAUUCCUGUCUGUUCCUGAAAUUGGUCGUAACUUGUGUUACCUAACAUGGAUAUCAUUUUUGCAUACACGGUUUUCCAUGUUUCGAGUGACUUGUAGUUCAAAUCUGAAUUUUUCGAAGAAAUUCAAUUAAACGAACUAAAUCUAAUAGUUAUAGAAAACACUUUUAUAAUUGUGCCAAAAUGGUACAUGUAGGUCUACAUAGUGUAGGAACAUACCAAAAAAGUUUGGUUGGGAAAAGAAAAAAAUAAAAAAAAUACUUUGUCGAGUGUCCAAGAAUGACACUCGGCAAAUCAAGCUCUGCCGAGUGUCAGGCGUAAGACACUCGGCAAAGAAGCUUCUUUGCCGAGUGUCAGGGCUCGACACUCGGCAAAGAUAACGACUGUCAGCUUUAGAUGGCUAUUGAUGGCCCUUUGCCGAGCACCGCCAUUCGCCGAGUGUUUGGCACUCGACAAAGAUUUCUUUGUCGAGUGUAUUUCUGUGCCGAGAGUCCUGCUCUCGGUAAACGUGGUCAUUACCGAGAGUAGGACUUUGUCGAGUGCCCGACAAAAAGCACUUGGCAAAGCGUCGAGCACUCAGCAAAUAGCCAGAUUCCGGUAGUGAGUGACAAAACAUCAGUGAGGUGGGCGAUUGGACUGGUACGACAAAGGGUUGGGCGAACCAUGAGUGUUUUUGAUGACGCUGAUUGAUUCUACAUAGAGAAGAGAUUGCAUGUGUAAGAUCAUAUGAAUAUAUAUCAUACAUAACUAAAAUAUUGGUACUCAAAGGAGUAGAGAAGUAAGCAAGUUCAGCUGGAGGGAACAAUGGAGGUGGUGGAGCAAAACCCGAUGCAGCGCCGAGGCUCUGCAUAUAUUGAAACAACUCUGCUAUCCUCUGUUGAUCGGCCAAGCGAGCCAUCUUCUCGUCCAUCAUCCUCGCCUCCAACUCCUCAUGUUUCCUCAUCUCUUCUUCUAGAUGAGUCUGUAAUAUUUCACCCUAAUGUUACGAUAAUGCAAUGAAAAGAUAUAUAAUAAUCAAUGAAUGAAGAAUAGGUAAGGAAUAACCUGGAGUUCCUGUAUGUGAUGUUGUGAGCUGUCUUAUCGAGGUCCUAUAGUUGGGCUCGCACUCGUGCUCCUUGCUCGCACCUGAGAUAGAGUGGGAGUGGAGGAUGAGUCGAUUUUCUCAUCGGCAAUCCAGUACCGCCCAUGCCUCUUGCCUCCUCUAACCCUCAUGAGGACAUCUAUGUCGAUGUCAUCAGUCCUCGGAUCAUAAUCUGGCCCAUGGACUUCUUUUACCAUGGCAGUGCACUCACUGAGGCGGUUGUGGACGGAAGGGUCCUUGUACACCUUGGGCCAGUCCUCUGUGUUGUACGUGACAUCAGACAUCGACUUACCCUUGUGGGCCAUAACAUACACCGAGAAGAUGGAGCAAAGCCGGCCACCAUGUGACGCCGACUGCGAGAAAACCAAUGAGAUGGUUAAAAAUCAUGUCUAAUCAAAAGUUAGACUAAAUAAAAGAAAUUGUGUACCCAUGCUUCUGCGUAUUUGUCGAGGUUGCGGAUGUCUUGAUGGUGGGAAGGACCUUGCGUCAUCAAACACCAUUCCCGGCUAGCAUUGUGCGCCUCGUCCCACUCGUUCGAGCACCAUCUUUGCACCAUCUAAUCCCAUCACUUAGGAUGUGCAGUGCACCAAUUAGGAAUCAUCUAAAAAUCAAGUACACAAUGUAUCAUAAGAUAAAAUUAAGCAUAUUUAAUAUCAAUAUUAAUGUUCUAUAGCUACCUGCAAGUAUUGGUCCCGAGUCAACGACAUGGUUCUAGCGUCCUUCUUGACCACCUUCUCUCCAAGGACGGAGGCAUGGAAAAUGAUGAUGGUCUGGAUGCGUGCCUCGUAGUGCAAGUCCACGACGAGCUUCAUGCAAACAAAAACGAUGUAUCCGUACAUUAUUUCAAGAAUGUGCAAUGAAUAUGAUGUAUUGAACAAUAUAGUGCGAGGAAGACCUACCCACAACUCUUGCUUCACCCGCUCCGCCUUGUUGUUGAAUUACAUGUCAUCCCGAUCUACAGCAUCAGGGGCUACAACGUAGUGGUUGAAGGAAUAAGCCGGGCCCGUAACUCCAUCAUACUCACCAAAUCUAGGGAAGUGUUCCCUGCACAGAAGCCCAAGGAUGUCAUUAGGGUUGCGUUUGUGACCCCCUCCAUUCUCCACAACCAUUCAAGACAUGUCCAAGUGAUUAAGAAAAAGUAUUAUUUUCUAUUUUGAAUUUGAUCAUAUAAUAUGAAGAAGCAGUGACAACAUCUAAAGUUAUAGACCUUUCCCCCAUCAGGUCGAAUCAGCGGGCGUAGUGGUUGAAGUUCAGUUCAGCUUAUCACCCAUAGGCCUAUGGUCAGAUUGAAAGAACUAAUCAGAUUCUUGAAGACAUGUUGAGAUCCUGUGCAUUGCAAGAUAAGUCAGGUUGGGAUAAGAAGUUACCUUAUGCGGAAUUCUCUUAUAACAACAGCUAUCAGGCCAGUUUGAAGAUGUCACUGUUUCAGGCACUAUAUGGAAGGAGUUGUAGAACUCCACUGCUUUGGGAUCAACCUGGAGAGAGGCAGGUGUUCAGUCCCGAUGUUUUGCUCGAAGCAGAAGAGAACAUCAAAAUGGUCUAAGAGAAUCUGAAUAUAGCACAGUUAAGGCAACACAUUUAUGCUGACACAAGAAGAAGAGAACUGAGAUUUGAAGUGGGAGAUUAUGUUUAUCUAAAGGUGUCACCUAUCAGAGGAGUUAGAAGGUUCGGGGUCAAGGGAAAGUUAGCACCGCGAUAUAUCGGACCGUACCAGAUUCUAGCAAGGCAUGGAGAAGUGGCUUAUUAACUCAGCUUACUAGAAGAUCUGUCAGCUGUGCACGUUGUUUUCCAUGUGUCUCAGCUGAAGAAGUGCUUGCGAGUACCCGAGGAGCAGUUGCCAGUGAAAGGACUAGAAGUCCAAGAAGACCUGACAUAUGAGGAGAAAUCAACGUAGAUUCUAGAUACAACAGAUAGAGUCACCUAGAGGAAUACCAUCAGAAUGUGCAAAGUCAGAUGGGGUCACCACUCUAAGAAGACGCGACCUAUGAACGCGAAGAUGAUCUGAAAGCCAAGUAUCAUGAAUUCUUUGCUAGCCAACCUUGAAUUUUGGAGCGAGAUUCUUGUAAGGGGGAUAGGUCUGUAACACCCUGAAUUUUGGGGUCUAAAAAUUUCUUUCCUCUGUACUCAAAAUUCAGGUGUCACCCUUUCCUUUCUUCACUUUUCUUUUCCCUUUAUUAAAAGAAUAGAGAGUUAUUUUGUUCUAUGUUGGCGUGAGCCCUAGAAGUGUCAUGGUUGUUGCAUAAUGUUUCUAAGUGUAAGAAGUGUUUGAAACAUUUUAGUUUGUCCUGUAGAAGUUUCCAGUAAGUUUUCAUAUUUUUCGAAUUUUUUCUAUUUUCUGAAAUUCAAAAUCUAUUUAAUUGGGGUGCUUAAAGACAUUUUGAAAAGUUCUGAAUAUGUUUUUUGAGUUCAUUGAGUUUUAAAUCAUGUCUUUGAAGUUUUCUAGAAUUUUUGUAGCCUUCGAGAUAAUUUUCGGGCAUUAAAAAUGAUUUCAGCCUUUUUCUGAAAUUACUUUUAAUUUAAAAAAUGGGAUAAUUACAAAAAAUAAAAUAUCUUCAAACCCUAGCAAUAUAUAUGUGGCUUGAAUCCUCUCGUCGAGCCCUUUCCGAAUUUCGAACCCCCUUCUCCAGGCUAAAUCCAUAACUCCCGGAAUUGCUCGCCAGGGUUUGUGACGGUUCCAACUCCCACGAGUAGUUACUUUCGAUCCGUGCAUCCUCAGCGGAAUCCAAGGGUACCGCUGCGUCCGUCACGUCGAGAGCUUCGUCCCGGUGCCAUCGAUUCGUCGAUCCGACUGACUGUUCAUCCUCAAUCGGUGAAUUUGUCCUCGGCUCCGGCAGAGUUUCUUCUCUGGUGAGCCUCUCCUCCAUUGUUGCCAUGGUGUUCUUCGUUUUUGUCUUCCCUGCACAGUCCCUCUCCCUCCCGCCUCCCCCUCUCUCUCCCUGGCGGCGAUGCCCUCCCCGCCCCCUCUUUUCCCCCGCACUGCUAAAUAGAUGAUCCUAUAAAUAUAGCUCAACAAAACAAAAUUGGACUAAUAAUGAAUUAAUGAAAGCAAAAGCCAAGUCCGGAUGAAGUGAAUGAGAGGAGAGAACUUCUUCACUUAAUUGCUCUCACAAGUGAGUAUUAAACUUAGAGCAAUUAUGAAGUGAAGUGAACUACUAGAAAGAGUAGAAUCAUUAUAAGGUAAAGAGACAAGUGACACGACGAUUUUAUCCCGUGGUUCGGUCAAGCAUAAAAUGCUUGCCUAAUCCAUGUUGUGGUGUCCCAAUGAACGAGGGUUGCACUCAACCCCUCUCAAGCGAUCCACUGAUCAACUUGAGUACCACGGUUCUCUUUUUUAUCUUAACUUUUUCUCGUUGUGAGGAAUCUCCACAAUUUGGAGUCUCUCACCCUUACACAAUUGAUCUCAAGUAAACCACAAGAGUAAGGAGGAUUAAAAACACACACACAAGAGACAAAAUCAAAGCAACACACGGACACAAGUCGAGAGAGGAGCACAAGAGACAACACAACAGAAUUACAACUCAAACACUUGCUUGAAUCUCAAACUACCAAAGCUCUAGCGUAGUUGCGGUGUCUCGGUGUCAUAGGAUGUUCAAAGGAUGCUUAGUUUUGUGCUCCAUGCGCCUAGGGGUCCCUUUUAUAGCCCCAAGGGACCUAGGAGUCGUUGGAGCUCCAUUUGGAAGGUCCUGGUUGCCUUCUAUCCGCGGGUGUACCGUACUGUCCAGUGCACACCAGACACUACACAGUGCAACGGCUACAAAUCAUCUGAUUGACUGGUUUCCUGUUCUGGGGGGCACCGGACCGUCCGAUGGGUGGCACCGGACUGUCCGGUACUCCAUGUGACCGUUGUCCUCCAGCCGACGUGGGCACUAGCCAUUGGCUAGCUAGCACACAGGACUGUCCGGCGCUCUGCGCGGAUGGUCCGGUGAAUUAUAGCUGACGUAUGCUAAAAUUCCCUAGAGCAAGAAGUUGGUCGAACCGUGCACCGGACUGUCCGGUGGGUGGCACCGGACUGUCCGGUGCAAUUCAGUGCAGUCCAACUUUCUCUUCUCUAUUUAGAAUCCAUUUUUCACCUUUUGGCUUUAGUUCAUAAAGUCCCUAGCACUUAGACAAAUAUGAUUAGUACCAAAAAUAAUUGACUAAGUGUCUCGACCUUACCUUUCACUUGGUCCAUAAGGAUUUGCAUUAUGUUCUCUUCCAAGCUCAAUUUAUUUCAGGUACCUAUGCUCAUUGGUUAUGUUAGUCUAAACAUAAUGUGGUGUGCAUUUAAUCACCAAAACAAAAUAUAAAUGGCCCAAGGGUAUAUUUCCCUUUUAGCUGCUCGGCGGCGGCGGGCUCAGCCGCGGCGCUCGCGCGCCACCGCGCGCCGCGCCCGCCGGCGACCGGCCAGCCUUUUCCCCCAUCGCGCAGCCUCCCCUCUCCUCCCCUUGCCAUGGUGAGAGGAAGGAGGGAGGAAGAAGAAGGCGAUUUUGUGAAAAACCCCCUGGUUAAUUUUAAAACUACGUGCAGAGUGGUAUUUCAAUUUAAAACCGCGAUAACUUUUAUGUUUUAAAUCCGAUUCACUCCAUUCAAAUUGCAUUAGAUUUGUAUUAAAAUUGUAUACAUGUUAGAAGUAUUAUUCUCUGCUGUUACACAUGUUAUUUAAUUCAUUUAAGAGUUUGUUUGACUGAUGGUUAUUAGAAUGACGUUUCAAUUUAAAUCUAAUUUAAGGUUUCGUGCGCAUUUAUAAAUCAACACCAACGUGGUUAACCUUAACAAGAAUAUUCUUUAUCAAUAAUUGUUCAGAUUAAACGUGCUAUUUAUUUAUUAGUUCUCGCGUGUCGUGUUGGCCUGCGCGCUGUGUGUGUGCUGGGCGCGUGCGGCCGUGCUGUUUCGCGCGUUGCGUAUUUUGUCUCGCGUCGUUAAUUCGUCUUGUCUAGAGUCGCUAAUGUUAUUUAAAUUACUCAUCUAACUAAAGGUGAUUAGAGUAUUAGAUUAAUUAAAACUAGACGAUAGCUCUGGUUGCAUUUAAUAAAUAUCGAUUAAUUCAAGUAUGUCAAAUUAAAUGUUUUAUAUCAUAUUUGUAUAAUGUAGACGCAAUAACUUCUCAAUCGCAGCUUCGAUCUCGGCGUUUCUUUUUCUCCUAUGACCGUAAAAGUGAGUGCUAUUUUGUAUUGCACAUGUUUUUCCCUUAUUUGGUGUAUUGUUUAUUUCUGUUAUAAGAAUGUUGAAUGUAUGUUCGCACUCGUUUAGAUAAUGUUCCGUCCGUGGAGUCUGAGGAAGUUACAGGAGAAGCCUCUGAGCAGCAACAGUUUGGUGAAGGCAAGUGUCCUCUGACUUAUUAUGUACUAUUUACUUUAUAAUUCACUGUCUCACAUACUAUGAUUAACCUAAGGAUUGACUAGCUUUCUAUUUAUCAUGUCCUUGAUUACCUUUUGGGGUUGAGUUAUUUUGAUCAGCUACAUGCUAGUGCUUCACCCUAAUCAGUGAACAUGAUGAGAAUUACUUUAUGAUACUAUGAUUCAUUAUGAUUAUGAACUUGUGGCAUUUUAGGGGACUCGGGCUGUUUCCCGAGUACCUCUCCGUAAGGACCUGUUCAUUGAGAGACCACCCAUGAUAAUAGUACAAUCAUGAGGGUAGAAUGAGACACCCUUAGCUGAUUAAUUGAAGGAACCUACUGGUGUAGUUUGCUUCGCCAUUAUGCCGUUAAUGGGGGCUGGGCAUAGUGCUUGCUCUGCUAAGGGUGGGUGCUAAGGUUCAUUCGAUUUGGUUUUGUUAAUCACCCACCUUAGGGAGGAGUAUUGUGUUUGUACGACUAGUGAAACCUAACGUGUGGCUACACACUAGGAGAAUCUUUGUAAAGGCUACAUAGUGAAUCCUUGGCCAUUCACCUCGGUAGUGAAGAUCGGGUCUUGCAAACCCAAGCUGGAAAGGGAUCACGACUCGUGGGUAAAGUGUGCAACCUCUGCAGAGUGUUAGAAACUGGUAUAUUAGCCGUGCUCACAGUUAAGAGCAGUCUUGGGAUCCUCUUUGAUUAGAGAUAUUCUAGAUUCAUUUAUGUUGAUGGUUUAACGAUGAUGGCUAUACUUAUGAUAUUUGGUACUUUCCUCUGUGAGAAAGUGUUUUCUUCUAGGAAUAUCAACUUGGGUUUUAGAUAAAACUUGGCUUCUAUUAAUGAUAAAUACCUAACAAACUAAAAGUAACUACUUUGAGCUUAUUACCCUCACAUACAGCAAGCCCACUUCAACCAAACGGGACAUUUGCUGAGUACGUUAAUGUGUACUCACCCUUGCUUAAACACCAAACACCAGGUUGUCCCUAUUACAACCAUUGCUCAGGAGAAGAUGAAGGCAACACAUAGGAUUUUCAUGAGUUUUAGGACUUCAAGGAAUUAUAAAUUAGACUAGCGGCAAAUCCUCAGCUGGCUGCAUGUGAAGGCCUUAUGUUAUUACGUUUUAUUCAGCACUUUGAUUUAUGUUUAAGUUAAUGACUAUGUGGAUGUCUCGGACAUCAUGAUGUAAUAAAGUUGUACCUAUUUCCGCUAUUAUUUUUAGCAUUGUGUGAUGAUGUUCAAUUAUGUAAUCGUUGUGUACGUGAAUUUCUGAUCCGGGCAUGUACAUGGUUUGCAUUCGGUUUACCUUCUGAAACCGGGUGUGACACCAGCCUGGAUGACACGUUGACGGCAGGUGGGGAAGACGAAGGAAACACAACGCUCUAGUGUAAGGAGGAGAAAGUCUGUACGGAGGGAUGAUGUCUCGCCCUCAAUAUGUACACAUGAAGUGACUAAAAUAGACAAGAAAAUAUCAAUUGGCAAAAGAAAGCCGCACACCUGCAAGAUCAUAAUCGAGAAAUCGUCGGACCAUUCACACACAUGUCGUACGCUCACGCUCAUUGCCCGACCAGAUGAGGCAAGGCGAGCGAGCGAGUGGGUUCUCCCUUUUUCUCUCAUCAAUGGCUUCAACCAGGUGGAGAUAACUUAACUAUUUAAUUUAGCCUCACUCCACCUAGAGUAGCAAUGUGGUACUAAAGUUCCCACCAUACCAUGCAUGUGUGAGUGAGCCUUUGGAAUUUAUAAGAAUUAUUAUUUGGGCCAAGCCCAAAUUCUCUAACGGUGGAUUGGGUGGGAUUGAGUGAGUUUAAAUUCCAAACAAAUCAAAAUCUUUCAUAAUUUUUCCAAUCUCAUCCAAUUCACAUGGGAUAGUAAUAACGGAACAAAUUCUAACCAAAUAAGCCCUAAAGGGUGUUUGGUUUCCUGACUAAAAUUUAAUCUAUAUCACGUCAAAUAUUUGAAUAUCAAUUAUUAAUACUAAAUGUAAAUUUAAUUAGAUUUAAUAAAUUCAACUUGUCUUUUAGUCUUAUCUGUAUAACUAGUUUUAUAAUUAAACUUUAUUUAAUACCAUAAUUAUUAUUUAAACAUUCAAUGUGACAAGGACUAAACUAUAGUUGAGUGCCCUAUAAGGGCAUGUACAACCAUGAGACAUCAGUUCGGUUUCCAAAUAUAAGAGAUAAUUAAGAAAUUACGUGAUACAACUCUAAUACUCUGGAUCAUAAAUGUAGUUAAGAGACAACGUGUAUAAAAAGUUGAAAGUCGCCUAAGGGGGGUGAAUAGGCAAAUCUGAAAUUUAUAAACUUUAAGCACAACUACAAGCCGGGUUAGCGCUAGAAAUAAAACCGAGUCCGUUAGAGAGGGCGAAAACAAAUCACAAGCAAAUGAAAGCGGAUGACAUGGAGAAUUGUUUUACCGAGGUUCGGUUCUUGCAAACCUACUCCCCGUUGAGGUGGUCACAAAGACCGGGUCUCUUUCAACCCUUUCCCUCUCUCAAACGGUCACCAAGACCGAUUGAGCUUUUCUCCUCAAUCAAUUGGGUCACUUGACCCACAAGGACCACCACAACUUGGUGUCUCUUGCUUUGAUUACAAAGGUGUUGAGAACAAGAAUGGGGAAGAAGAAAAGCGAUCCAAGCGACAAGAACUCAAAUGAACACAAAAAUCUCUCUCUCACUAGCCACUAAUUGUUUGGAGUGAUUUUGGACUUGGGAGAGGAUUUGAUCUCUUGGUUGUGUCUUGGGGUGAAGUAUAGAGCUCUUGUAUUGAAUGCAAUGGCUGAAAACUUGGAUGCCUUGAAGUGGUGGUGGUUGGGGGUAUUUAUAGCCCCAACCACCAAACCAACCGUUGGGGUUGGGCUGCUGUCGAUGGGCGCACCGGACAGUCCGGUGUGCCACCAGACAGUUCGGUGCGCCAGCCACGUCACCAACCAUUAGGGUUCAACCGUUGGAGCUCUGACAGACGGGGCCACCGGACAGUCCGGUGGUGCACCAGACAUGUACUGUUCACUGUCCGGUGCGCCUUCUGGCGCUGCUCUGACUUCUGCGCGAAAUGUUCACGCACUGUAGCGCUUUUCAGGUUUCCGUUGGAGUCGACCGUUGCGCUGUAGCCAUUCCUCCGCUGGCACACUGGACAGUCCGGUGCCACACCGGACAGUCCGGUAAAUUAUAACGGAGUGGCUUUUCCAGAAACCCGAAGGUGGCGAGUUCGAGUUGAUCCACCCUGGUGCACCGGACACUGUCCGGUGGCACACCGGACAGUCUGGUGCGCCAGACCAGGGCAGCCUUCAGUUUCUUUUGCUCCUUUCUUUUUGAACCCUAACUUGGACCUUUUUAUUGGUUUGUGUUGAACCUUUGGCACAUGUAGAACAUAUAAUCUAGAGCAAACUAGUUAGUCCAGUUAUUUGUGUUGGACAAUUCAACCAGCAAAAUCAUUUAGGAAAAAGGUUUGACCCUAUUUCCCUUUCAAAAGUCGUGAAGAAAUAAGCUCUUCGUGAAGAGUCCCUCUUAUAUUUUGUCCACUUAGCCCUUUGAAAACCUUUUCAGAGACCUCAUAUUAAAUGUGAUUGUAUAUGCCCUAAGAUUGAUUCAUUAAAUCGAUCCCAUGGCUAGUAAAAAGUAAAGAAUUGGUAUCUGUCCGUGUCGGAAUUAGUGAUGCCAAGAUUAUUUCAUGGCUAAGGUAAAAUAAAGGUGUUUCCAAGGUAAAGCCUUGUUUGCUUCAUCUUAUAGAUUAUAUAAUCUAGAUUAUAAUUUGUAUGUAGCUGUUUGAUAGCCUAGAUUAUACAAAUGCAUAUUAUUGUUAUCUAUGACAUAAAGUCAACAUUGCCCUUGUGUGUUUAUUUGUUUUUUUGCAGUUAUAGCAUUCUAUCGAUUCAUACAAUCAUUUUGAAGAUACAAGAAUAGAAUUAUGCCAAUUUAUACAUCUUAUUUAGCCACACCAAAAUAUCUAUAAAUAAAAUUAUAUUAUCCAAGCUGCUUUGUCAUAAGUUUCAUUCUCCUCAAAAUUAAUCAAGUAUGCAGUAAAGUUUAGCAAUUCAAUUUAUUGAGUAGAAUAAAGAUUUUAUGAAAAACCAGCAUUCAAUACUCAACAAUAAACAUAUACGCAAUUCAAUUUAAUAGGAAUAAACGAACUAGGCUUCAAUGAACUUUGCACACAAAAUACUCUUGAGGUGGAGAUGAGAUGCGGUGGGAGCUUGGGAUGAAGAGAUAUGUCCCUAAUCGAAUAGAUAGAAGAUAAUGGCAAAUUUUAUAAUUUCUAUGUAUAUAGCCAUAGAUAAUGAGUUUUUUGUAAAAAAUAAUUUGAAAUAAGUUACUCUUGAUAAGAUUAUAAAACUAUCAUAAUCUGUGUUUUAGAUUAUAUAAUUUAUACCUAUAAUCUAAGUGACUGUUUAUUCGUUGAAUUAUUUGUGCUGCAUUAUAUAAUCUAGAUAGAUUAUAAUUCGAAAUAAACAGAGUCUAAAUCAUUAUUAAUAUUGUUGACACCUUUUCGGAGGCGCCAAUUACUCAAAAGAACCAGCGGCGGUGCUCUCUGGUCAGGCGCGGACGGUCCGCGGCUUGGGGUCGGACGGUCCGCGACCUGGCGCGAGGCGGCGGUACUCUCUGGUCAGACGCGGACGAUCCGCGGCACAAGGCCGGACGGUCCGCGACCUAGUGCAGGAGCUCGGGUUCCCUGCCUGACGGUCGGACAGUCCGCGCUCUACGGCCGGACGGUCCGCGCGUGCGCAGGGCGGCGGAAGAUCGCCGGCGGCGCCUGGAUCUCGCUCCCGGGAGGGACCCCGUCGGGGAGGAGAGAUCCUAGGAGUUGUCUAGGCUCGGGCCGGCCGACCUAGACUCCUCUAAUCGACGUAGAGUCGAGGAGAGGCAGAGAAUUUGGGGAUUGAAAUACUAAACUAGGGCUAAACUAGAACUAGACUAGAACUACUCCUAAAUGUGCUGAAAAUAAAUGCGAGAUAGAAGUUGUAUUGGUUCGAUUGUUGGGGGUUUAAUCGGCCGUAGCCCUUCAUCUAUAUAAAGGGGGAGGUCUGGAUCCGUUUCCAACUGUUUCCCGAGUUAAUCCCGCGGUUUUAGGUAACAAAUCCCGCGAGAAACUAGGAACCCUAACUGACUCUGCACGCGCGCGGACCGUCCGCGCCACCACUGCGGACAGUCCGGACCGCGGACCGUCCGGCAUCAGGGUCGGACCGUCCGCCAGGCUCUUUUUAGCCUCCAACAUAUGUGAAAGUGCAUUCAUCCCUUUUGUGAGUUUUGGUGAUUUGGAUAACAACACAUUUAAAGGUCUAACGAGUUUAAUAAGUGUUGAACAGGAAAUUCAGUAUGAUGAACACACUUGAAUAGUGUAUAAUGAUCAAUGAACAAAGGUUCAACAUGAGGUUAAAUAACCAAUGAGACAAUGCAAAUGGAUAUAAUAUGGUCUCUGUAUUGGUUUGAAUAUAUAUGGACAAGACCUGAGAAAUCACUACAUACAUAUGAUCAGAAUAGAGGAUAAAGUGAUUAAGAGGACUGGUUAAGCCAAAGUGGAUAAGAUAUGAGGAAUCGUGAAUUGGCUUGACCAUAUUACUAUCAGUCCAUAUAUGCUUCUAUGAGAAUCAAACUAGAGCUUGAUUGGUCUUAACAAUUAUAUCUAAAAGACAUUCAAGCAAGGUUCACAAUAUUGAAGAAAUGAUUCUCUCAAUGGAUGCUCAAUAUGAUGUGACUCAAGAAUGGCUUGAUAGGGUGAAGAUAGCAAGGAAAGGGCUUCGAGGAACUAAGCGAAGGUGAAGGCCAAGCGACGGCUUGUGGACCGAGGUACCAUGGCCAAGGUGAAGAAGAGAGUACUUGCACUAAGUCGAUGAACUAAUCAGCUAUGAAGAGUUAUAACAUGUUGAUGCAUCAGUACGGUGACUUGAAGCCAUGAUUUGAACUCACAUAUGGUGAUAUGGUACAAGUCACAGGGUUUGAUUUAUGUUUGCUUCAAAAGGUGAGACAAAGAUGUUUGUGAUCCUUAUGAAGCAACGCCAUGGAGAAAUCACACAUGAGACACCAAUGACUCAAGGAGUUUACUUAAUUAUAUUUUAUUUAACUUGAGUAUAGGAAUCGUCGUACUAUAAAGAGGGAUCCAAAAAGAAGGUUGGUGUUUUGCCAAAGCUCAAGCCUCUAUAUUCAAAAGCUAUUUUUUGAAAACCAAAAAUCUCUUUAAAAUUCUAUAGUUGACCAUGGUUAGGUUUGAAAAAACUAGAGUGUUCUUGUUGAAAAGCAGCUGAACUUCUUCAACUGCAGCUGAGCUUUUCAGCUGAGCUGAACUUCAGCUGAGUUGAGCUUCUUCAGCUGCAGCUGAGCUGAACUUCAGCUGAGUUGAGCUUCUUCAGCUGCAGCUGAGCUUUUCAGCUGAGCUGAACUUCAGCUGAGUUGAACUUUCUCAACUCCAGCUGAACUUCAACUUCAACUGGGGUCCAGGCAGGUUCAACCGGGGUCCAGGGCAAGUUCAACCGGGGUCCAGAGAGGUUCAACCGGGGUCCAAGAAAAGUUCAGCCGGGGUUUUUUUCCCGGACCUCACUGGUCAAUACCGGUUGAACCGGCCCUAGGGGCGGUUCAACCGGUGUCAGGACCUGUUUUUGCAGUCUGACUUGCAGUCUGCCAGUCUGACUGGUAGACUGUCUGUCAGCCUGCCCCAGGCGGUUGAACCGGUCUUAGGGGCGGUUCAACCGGUCUUGGUCAACUUUGACCAGUCUGCGGUCAGUCUGCGCGUCAGUCUGGCAGUCAGACUGGCAGACAGGCUGCCAGGUCUGCCAGGGGCGGUUCAACCGCCCUAGGGGGCGGUUCAACCGGUUUUCAACGGAUUUUUUAGUCCAACGGCUAGUUUUGAGCUCCCACUAUAUAUACUACCUCCUACCUCUCUCCCCAUAGCGAAGAGCACGAUUUGAACUCCAUUUCCAACUUGAGAAACACCUCUCACUCUCUCUCACACAUCUCUUGCCUCUCCCAUUUCAAAUCUUUGGAGAGAAAUCUUUGAGUGAGCUUGAGAGCUGCGGUUUUGUGCUUCAUCUCUAAAUCUCUCUUGCUCUUCUUCUUGAUUCGAGCUUUGGUACUACAUCGAGUUCUUUGUGGAUUCAUUACUCUUGGAGCUUGUAGCUCCUAGACGACUAGGUGUCUCUUGUGAGUCUCCAAAUCUUGUGGAAGACCACAAGAAAGUUUGUAUUACCCGCUCGUUUGAGCAAAGAUUAGUGUGUGAGCUUGACCUUUGUGGUCGGCAAAGGGAGGAUUAGGGUUGAAAGAGACCCGGCUCUUUGUGGGCGCCUCAACGAGGAAGUAGGGCACCUUGGUGGUGUGACCGAACCUCGGGAUAAAUCUUGUGUCUCUUGUGUUCUUGCUCAUUGUGUUUGUUUGUGUUCUUCGUUCUCUCACCAUUGCUUGGAAGAUUUGUUUAUAUCUUUUUGGUGUGUGGAUUUUGAGAAGUGCCAUUCUCAGAUCUACUACUUUGAACCCUGUGGAUCAUUUAGAACAUCUCAUUUCCAAAGUUAACUGGGUGAAUUUCGAGAUCAAUUCAGUUUUACCCAGUUUGCUUCUAGUUUUUGUUGAAAAAGUUUUAACUUGCCUAUUCACCCCCCCUCUAGGCAACUUUCAAUUGGUAUCGGAGCCUAAUCCUCGUUCUAACGCUUAACCGCGUGAGGAAAGAUCAUGUCGGGGGGACUAAGAAACGAAAGUGCUUCUAAGCUUGAAAAAGUUGAGGUUGCCUCGACUUCAUCUUUUGUUGCAGAUGUUGAUCCUAGGGCAAUAGAUCUUGCCAUGAGAAUCGCCGAAAGGAUGUUCCUCAAAAUGAAGGAAGUUGAGGCGAAGAACAAAAUUGAAGAAGAAAAUGAUCGAUGGAGACCAAACGACGAAUCCACCUCUUCACAAGGUUCGUCUUUCAAAUCCACUUCUCAUAUGUGCUUUAUUGCUAAUGGGAGUGACAGUGAAAGCGAAAGUGAGGAUGAAGAGGAGCAAGAAAGUGAUAGUGAAGAUGAGGAUGAUCUUCAACAAUUCUUCGCUCAACUAAGCAAGAAACAUCGGAUGAGCUUGCUCAAACUCAUGAAAAGAGCAGAAGAACAAAAAGAAAUGCUUCAUAAGCAAGAAGACUUCCUCAUCAGAAAAAUCGAAGACUUAGAGAAGUUGACCAAAGAGCAUGAGAAGCUAAAGUGCUCUCAUGAUGAUUUGGUCCAAAGGUAUGAAGACAUUUCAAUUGAGCAAUUUAAAGCUGUUAAUCAUUCAUCAUAUAUUGCUCAAUUAGAAAACAAAAAUGCUAUGUUCAAGAACACGAUAGAAAGGCUAAAUAUUGAAAAUCUAGCUUUGCAAGAAAAACAUGAUAUGCUUGUGUGCUCUCAUAAUAAAUUUAUGGAUUCACAUAUCAUGUUAGAAAUGGCUCAUGAGGUUGUGUUAACUAAUUUUAAAUCAUACCAACCUCACAUAUGCACAUGUACUCAAGUAGAAACUAUAUUAUCAUGUGCUAACAAAUGUUGCUCUCAAGAAAGCCAAUCUUCCAUUGAGCUAGAAAUUUCAGGAAUUAGUGAUAUUUCUAUCACACAAGAAAAUAAAGAGCUCAAGGAAGAAGUUGGAAGGCUAAGAAGGAGCUUAACUAUUUUGAAGGGAAAGUGUCAUGCUCAACCUUCUCAAGAUAACCGUGAUAAUAUGAUGAAAAAGCUUGAGAAGGGGACAACCGUAGCAUGCACAAAACCCCUUCAAAAGAAUACCAAGCUUUCCAAGAAGGACAUGAGCAAGACUCAAGGUGAGAAAAUUAAUGCUCAUAUUAUUUGCUCUAACAAUGUACCUAUGUGCUUCAACAAAGAAAGAUCAAGGAGAAGCGAUAGGAGGUGCUAUGGAUGCAAGGAGAAGGGUCAUGAAAUUGGUUCAUGCCCCCGCAUGAAGAACCAAGACCUUGCACGAUCAAGAAAGAUGACCAUCAAGAAGGAUGAAAGCAAAAGGCAAAUGCAUUGCAAGGACAAGCAUCGCAUUUGCUACAAUUGCCGUGAAAGAGGUCAUCUAUUCAAGGUUUGUCCAAAGGGUAAAACACCUAAGCCUAACAUGUCAAUACAUUCAAAUAUACUUAGGAGACCCAAAUUUGACUCUUGUGCUAGAAAGGUGAUGAGUUCACCACAUUCUAGGACCAAGGCUAUUUGGGUGCCUAAGUCCUUAUUGACUAACCUUGAUGGACCCAUCAUGAGAUGGGUACCAAAAUAUACUUAAUAAGAUUUUGCAGGUACCUAGAGAUGAUAUGAAGCUUUGGGGUGCUUAAGCAGUUUAACUCAAUCCUUAUCUCAAGCUAUCAAUCUUACAUUGUUUAUCCUUUAAGAUUGACCCAAAGAUGAAUUUAGUUGUUAUAUCACUAACUUCAUAUUCAUCUCUAGCAAGAACUUGUGUUGUAGGGAAUAAGGAUUAACCUUUGUCAAGCAAAAUGCCUACAACUAAGGGAUAUCCAAAGGAUGGUAAAAAUUAAUUCUUAAGUGCACAUUGCUUUUAAUUGGUAUAUUCCUUUGUGUCUUUUGUAGCCACAUAGGAAAAAUGAAGCACUUGAGAAUGAACUUAAAAGAUUUUACCUUGCUUUGGAAAGGAUCUAAUUAUAUGGUAGAUUGCAAGUUCAUAUUUUUAUAUUAUGACAAUCUACAUGCUUUAAAUUGAUUGUAUGUAUCUUGUGGCAUAUUUCAAGUUAAUCAUCAUAUUAUUGCCAUGACCUAGACAUAAAGAGUAUUAUCCCAUGUUCUUAAAUGAAUAGAGUGCUAAGUAAGAAAUUCAAAUUCUUAAAGCACUUAUCAAAAGGGGAAUUCUCUAUAUGACUAAAGUUGUGAGACUAAUGUUUUUAUCUGAGUGAUUUAUGUAGUUUCACAACAUGAGAAUGUGUUUCUAAAAUGGAGUGUGUCAUUCAAUCUAUGCGUACAUUUUAAAAUUUGAAAUGAGGUUUAUUGUGGAAAAUUAUUUUAAAAUUUUCAUUCCAAGCUCAACUGGUCUGACCAGCUGAACUUUCUAGCUCAGCUGGGGAGACCAGCUGAACUUCUGAGUUGAACUUCAGUUCGGCUGGUAUUCACCAGGAACCCCCCUGGCUGAAACCGGUUGAACCGGUGUCCAGGACCGGUUGAACCGGUCUGGCACAGUUUGACCGGCCAGUCUGACCAUUUUUUCAGACUGCGUCAGCCCUUUUUCAGACGCCUUUUUCAGUCUGCAACAACACCUUUUUCAGGCGUCAGAUCAGCUUUUGCAGCACCUUUUCAGCAACUUUUGCAGCAUCUUUUCAGUAACUUUUGCAGCACUUUUUCGGUCACUUUUGCAGUACUUUUCAGCUUUAUUUUUGCAGACUUUUACUGUUUCAUUUGGUAUGUGACCAAUAAUAGUUCUUUUCAAGUGGCAUUCUUUCAAUUGGUAAUAAUCUAUUUUAUGAAGAAAAAAAUGUCAAUAUGAAAGUUAAAUUAUUUUUGGCUUAAAUUUGUAAAUUGGUGCAUAUUAUUAAUUCACUCAUCCAUGUGCAUUAAUUUAAAAGGAAUUUAAUUUAUGCCUUUACGCCUGAUAAAUGAUGAUUUGUUUGCCAUUCAUAUAUAGAUAUCAUCAUUCAUUAAAUACUUCCUUGUACUACUAAUACCUCUUUUCAAAGUGUUUUAUCGACUAGUUUUAAAAGGAAAAGAGAUAACAAAGAAGGAAGUCUCCACAAAUGAUAAAAAGAAGAAUGCUAAAGUGACACCACCACAGAUAGUAAGAUCUGUCAAAUUGGUAUAACAAAUGGUACAUUUAUAUGGUGGUAAGUAUUCAUAGGCAUAAGUUAAUUCAUUGCAAAUUUGUCAUGCCUUGACCAUGAUAUGUAAUAUACUCCUCAUGAGACUCUUAAAUGAAUUGAAAGUGCAUGUGGCAAGUCAUUCAAAUACUUGAUGCACAUAUCUAGUGGGAGAACAUUAUAUAUCUUGUGUCAUAGAGAAUAAGUUUCACUUAAGUAAGCUAUACUAAGACAAUCCAAAAUGGUAAAUUUGUACCUCAUUCAUAUGGAUUGUAAUCUUUGUUUUCUAAAUAGCUACUCUUGAUGCAGUUUAAAAUUCCCUUAUCGUUAAUUCUAAAAGUGCAUAAGAAUCUUUUUGUUGAUAUUCAUCACAUACAUAUGCACUAACAUGGAUAUGAUUUUUAAACUGUAAAAGGUACAAUUAGUGAUCCAUACUCUCUAAAUUUUGGAAACCCAUAUUUUGAUAUCUUAGAAAUCUACUUCAAUCGAUAUCCAUAUGCUUCACAUUGUAUUGGAUCACUAAGUUGUAAAUUCCAUGCAUAACUUGUCUUUAUGUUAUGAAUGCUUGUGCCACUAACCUUGAUAAGCUAGGUGCACCCAAAGUCAAGGUAGGUUCAUCAUCAAGAAGGCAACACAACGAUGUAUUAAUAAAAGGAGAAAAGGCUCCUAUUCUUAACUCUAGUUUUUAUCUAUGUGAUUAAAUAUUGACUUGAAACCAUGUAAGAUGGUUGUCAAGUAUAUGUGGGUGCCUACACAAAGAGAAAGGCCACAAUAAGGAUUGUGUGGGUACUCAAGGCUCUUACCACUAAUCUCAAAGGACCCUAUUCAAAUUGGGUACCAAGAUAUGAAGCUUAAACUUGUUUUGCAGGAUCACUCCUUCAAUGGAUCAAGUUGAGUGCUCGAUAAUGAAUAUAUAAAUCAUAUUUGGAGAUAGUAGCAAGGGUGGUAACAACUGAAUCUCAUGUGCAUAUUAUUUUCAAAUCCUAUCUCUUUUGUGACUUGUGUAGCCACUAAGGAAAAAGAAGCACUUGAGGAUAUACAUCAGUUGUUGAUUAUGAAAUAAAGGUCUAAUUGGAAGAUGAAUGAAUAUUAUCAUAUGGUCAACAAUCCAAAACUGUGUGAUGUAUUCUCUCUAGUAAUUUGGAUUUGAUUCUUCUAUAUUAGACACUCACCAUAAUAUGGAUUAAGUCAGUCCUUUAGACUUCAUUGAAUAACCAUGCAUAUUAUCAAUGUCAUUCAAAAUAUAUUGUGCAUGAGGGCUUAAGGGAAAUUUAGUCCAUAUUAUGAGGUUUCUCUAUUUUAGCAACUAGCUUGCCUUCCACAUAUAAAGGGUUGCUAAAUAAGAAACUAGUGCUUGUGCUACUAAUGCCAUCUCUUAUGUUGAGUUUAUCCAUAGAAAAUCUAUGUUAAGAGAUGGUGCUUGUUUUACAUUGGAUAAAUCACAAGCUUAAAGGAUACUAUUCAACUAAAGUAAGAUGAAGUUGAUAAGAGGCCAAGGUAUGAAAACUUCCUCUCCUUCAGUUGUUUUAGUUUUCUAUCCUUAGUGGGAUGUACCAUAGUAUAGGUUAAUUUCCUUGCAAUAUAAAAUGUUCAAUAGUGCAUAUAACUUUGUCAUCAACUAUAUGUGUGCACUAAUUUAAAGGAAUUUAGUCUAUCCUUUUGGGUUUCAAUAAUGAUGAUUCAUUUGCCAUCCACAUAUAAGGAUCAUCAUUUGUGAAACCCUCUCUUGUGUUUUUAAUGCUCUCUUUUCUAAGUGUUACAACGAGGUCCUUCCAAGAGCUUUCAAGAUGGAUUCAAAAUCUACAAAUAUAAGAGUCUUGGUUCUUUCAAAUCAUUGAGUUUCAAUAGGUCUCAUAUCAAGUAUGAUCGAAUCAAGAAAAGAUGAAAGAAGUUCAAGAUCACUUGGUUGGAUAAAAUCGUAAAGAGAAAAGAGAUCACAGCGACUCAAGAAGGGAGUUAUUUUUGUUUGUCAACCAAAUAAUGAAGAUGUAGUGACAUAUUUAUAUGAUAUCCUUCAUUAUGAGGUUUGAGGUUCAUAUUAGCAUGCUUUACCCUUCAAUAUUUCAAUUGAUAUACCUUCAGUUCUUAAACUUUUAAUUGGUUUAAUUUUCAUCAUCUAUGUAAAGCAUGUUAUGUUAAACCAAGAUAUAGUACAAACAUCUCCUUUAACCUCAUAUUGUUGAUGUGCAUAAGUGUACUUUGUGUACUCUUGCAUGCACAAAUUGAGGGAGAGUUUAGCCUAUAUCUUGUGAGACUAAUGAUUUCUUUCAAGUUCAUGUUAUGUAGUCUCACACCUUGGUGAAAGAAGAACAUCAAAUGAGGAUGAGUGGUUCCAAAGAAAUGAUCAAAUAUUUACCACAUGUCACCCCAUGGAUUAGUUCUAUUGGGGAACGAUAGGUGUUCUCUAGCAUAAAUUCAAUUGUUUCAAAUAUAUUAUGCCUUGACCAAGAUAUAUGAUGAACUCCUCUAAGAAUCUUAAUUGAAUCAAGUGCAUGUUACAAGUAAUUCGAGUACUUGAUGCAUACAUUUAGGGGGAGGUCAUUCUAUAUCUUGUGUCCUUAAAGACUAACAUUUUCUUUUAGUGAAUUUGUGUAGUUCUUUGAAGAGAAUGAGUUUCUCUUGAUCGUUUAAAGAGGAUAAGUUUCUAUUUGAAAUGUCAAGCCUAUCAAAAGCUAAGAUGGAAAUUCAUGAUUAUAAUGGAGACCAUGUGGCGUAGAACAAAGGUGUGUCACUCCAUGAAUUAUUGUAUUACAUUUGUGUAUCUAGGCUCUUACAUGCUAGUGUGUGCAUGUAUAUGCAAUAUCUUAAGUCACAUCAUAAGGUUGCACUUGUGGUGACGAUUAAAGAAUCUCUAGAUAUUUGAUUAAUACCUCUUGUGGUGAUAUCACAAGUUAGUCUUAAGUCAUCUUAGUGAGGUAUGAGUCAAACAUGCUAACUUCUCAAGAAUCUUGGCUUAAAAUAUUGCAUAUCAUGUCUAUUAGUAUACCUUUUUGAUUAUGAGUAAUUCCUUAGAUUGGUACAAUUUCACUUGUUUAUAUCUUAUUUGUACCAAGGUUCAAAUUAUAGAACUUAAUCCCCGGGCCUCACAAGUCCAAGUGCAUAAGCUAAACAAGUAUUCAUCACUUGUAUGCACACAUUUAGGGGGAGAAUAGUCUAUAAUUUGAAUCUUUGAGACUAACUUCAUUUCCAAGUCUAUUAUGUGUGUAGUCUCGAAUUAGAAAGGAAUCUUCGGGCAAAGACAAUCGCUUCCACUGCAAAUUUGAUGGGUAUCAAAGAUUCUUUGCUCCAAUAAAUGUAUAUGUUAUACAUUUCAUAAGAGAAUGAGUUUCUCUUUUAUAUGCUACUCCAACAUCAUCUAAAAUUGGUAAAUAUGUAUCACAUCCUUUUGGAUUGCAAAUGUCUGAAGUAGCAUAGCUUAUAAAUUCUCCUGUCUAGAACUUAAUUGAUUAAAUAGUGCACAUGUUUCUUAUGUUGCAUAAUUAUGUUCAAUUGAUACUCCUUUUAUGCCAAUGGUACUUUAAGUUGCAAAUAAGUACUCUCAACAGAUAUCAAUUGAAUUCAUAUAUAUAUGUGUGCACUAAAACUUGAGGAGAACUUAGUGUAAUAUGCUAUUAGUGAUCUAUUUAUCUAUCAAAUUGUAUCAAUUGGUGUUUUUCAAUUGAUAUUUUUCAUACAUGAUCACUAGUUGCAUAAUCCAUACUUGUGCAAUUUUCAUGUUGCCUCUUGUUGUGAUAAGAAAAUGCUAGGUGACGUCUAGACUCCAGGUAUCAAGAUUUAUCUUUCAGUUAGUAUGACAAUCUUCAUUUGAUAUCUUGGACCUAUGUCACAAUUAUGCCAACAAGAGCUUACAAAUGAAUUCUAAAUCCAACACAAGUUUGGAACCCCCCCUUGAAAAGGUAAAACAAAGGUACAUCACUUCAUGCCACUUGUACAUUAUUUUUUUUGUCAUCUAAGGAUCCUUUUCAUGAUAGUGUGUUCACAUCUUGCUUAAAUCAUAAUUUCUACCCUUUAUAUUCUUUGUAUCCCUUUUGGAGAUUUAUGACAAAGGGGGAGAAAUUUUGCAUUAAAGCUUAUCUUUAUUUUUGAAAAGGGGAGAAAACAAAAAGGGGAAAUCAUAAGAAAAACAUAAGAUGUAGAAAGUUGAUGAGUGCAUACUAUGUCAUGAGCAUCACGUUUAUUUUAUGACACACUGCACCCUAUGAAUAGUAUGAUAUAAGUUGUCUCCACACUUUGACCCAAAUAUGUGCUUUUGGCAUUUGAGUACAAAAUUGGUAUUUUCUGAAAUGCACAUAUUUAGGGGGAGAAACUAUAUCAUGGGAUUCAAAAUCUUAUUUAUCAAAUCUUAUGUAAGCUUUAAAUGUGUUGUCAUCAAUCACCAAAAAGGGGGAGAUUGAAAGUGCAUUCAUCCCUUUUGUGAGUUUUGGUGAUUUGGAUAACAACACAUUUAAAGGUCUAACGAGUUUAAUAAGUGUUGAACAGGAAAUUCAGUAUGAUGAACACACUUGAAUAGUGUAUAAUGAUCAAUGAACAAAGGUUCAACAUGAGGUUAAAUAACCAAUGAGACAAUGCAAAUGGAUAUAAUAUGGUCUCUGUAUUGGUUUGAAUAUAUAUGGACAAGACCUGAGAAAUCACUACAUACAUAUGAUCAGAAUAGAGGAUAAAGUGAUUAAGAGGACUGGUUAAGCCAAAGUGGAUAAGAUAUGAGGAAUCGUGAAUUGGCUUGACCAUAUUACUAUCAGUCCAUAUAUGCUUCUAUGAGAAUCAAACUAGAGCUUGAUUGGUCUUAACAAUUAUAUCUAAAAGACAUUCAAGCAAGGUUCACAAUAUUGAAGAAAUGAUUCUCUCAAUGGAUGCUCAAUAUGAUGUGACUCAAGAAUGGCUUGAUAGGGUGAAGAUAGCAAGGAAAGGGCUUCGAGGAACUAAGCGAAGGUGAAGGCCAAGCGACGGCUUGUGGACCGAGGUACCAUGGCUAAGGUGAAGAAGAGAGUACUUGCACUAAGUCGAUGAACUAAUCAGCUAUGAAGAGUUAUAACAUGUUGAUGCAUCAGUACGGUGACUUGAAGCCAUGAUUUGAACUCACAUAUGGUGAUAUGGUACAAGUCACAGGGUUUGAUUUAUGUUUGCUUCAAAAGGUGAGACAAAGAUGUUUGUGAUCCUUAUGAAGCAACGCCAUGGAGAAAUCACACAUGAGACACCAAUGACUCAAGGAGUUUACUUAAUUAUAUUUUAUUUAACUUGAGUAUAGGAAUCGUCGUACUAUAAAGAGGGAUCCAAAAAGAAGGUUGGUGUUUUGCCAAAGCUCAAGCCUCUAUAUUCAAAAGCUAUUUUUUGAAAACCAAAAAUCUCUUUAAAAUUCUAUAGUUGACCAUGGUUAGGUUUGAAAAAACUAGAGUGUUCUUGUUGAAAAGCAGCUGAACUUCUUCAACUGCAGCUGAGCUUUUCAGCUGAGCUGAACUUCAGCUGAGUUGAGCUUCUUCAGCUGCAGCUGAGCUGAACUUCAGCUGAGUUGAGCUUCUUCAGCUGCAGCUGAGCUUUUCAGCUGAGCUGAACUUCAGCUGAGUUGAACUUUCUCAACUCCAGCUGAACUUCAACUUCAACUGGGGUCCAGGCAGGUUCAACCGGGGUCCAGGGCAAGUUCAACCGGGGUCCAGAGAGGUUCAACCGGGGUCCAAGAAAAGUUCAGCCGGGGUUUUUUUCCCGGACCUCACUGGUCAAUACCGGUUGAACCGGCCCUAGGGGCGGUUCAACCGGUGUCAGGACCUGUUUUUGCAGUCUGACUUGCAGUCUGCCAGUCUGACUGGUAGACUGUCUGUCAGCCUGCCCCAGGCGGUUGAACCGGUCUUAGGGGCGGUUCAACCGGUCUUGGUCAACUUUGACCAGUCUGCGGUCAGUCUGCGCGUCAGUCUGGCAGUCAGACUGGCAGACAGGCUGCCAGGUCUGCCAGGGGCGGUUCAACCGCCCUAGGGGGCGGUUCAACCGGUUUUCAACGGAUUUUUUAGUCCAACGGCUAGUUUUGAGCUCCCACUAUAUAUACUACCUCCUACCUCUCUCCCCAUAGCGAAGAGCACGAUUUGAACUCCAUUUCCAACUUGAGAAACACCUCUCACUCUCUCUCACACAUCUCUUGCCUCUCCCAUUUCAAAUCUUUGGAGAGAAAUCUUUGAGUGAGCUUGAGAGCUGCGGUUUUGUGCUUCAUCUCUAAAUCUCUCUUGCUCUUCUUCUUGAUUCGAGCUUUGGUACUACAUCGAGUUCUUUGUGGAUUCAUUACUCUUGGAGCUUGUAGCUCCUAGACGACUAGGUGUCUCUUGUGAGUCUCCAAAUCUUGUGGAAGACCACAAGAAAGUUUGUAUUACCCGCUCGUUUGAGCAAAGAUUAGUGUGUGAGCUUGACCUUUGUGGUCGGCAAAGGGAGGAUUAGGGUUGAAAGAGACCCGGCUCUUUGUGGGCGCCUCAACGAGGAAGUAGGGCACCUUGGUGGUGUGACCGAACCUCGGGAUAAAUCUUGUGUCUCUUGUGUUCUUGCUCAUUGUGUUUGUUUGUGUUCUUCGUUCUCUCACCAUUGCUUGGAAGAUUUGUUUAUAUCUUUUUGGUGUGUGGAUUUUGAGAAGUGCCAUUCUCAGAUCUACUACUUUGAACCCUGUGGAUCAUUUAGAACAUCUCAUUUCCAAAGUUAACUGGGUGAAUUUCGAGAUCAAUUCAGUUUUACCCAGUUUGCUUCUAGUUUUUGUUGAAAAAGUUUUAACUUGCCUAUUCACCCCCCCUCUAGGCAACUUUCAAUAUGCCCCCUGCCUUUUGGUGCAGUUUGACGAACCAAAAGCAUAUGAACUAAACCUGAUGUAAGUCAUCGGCUUUUCAAAAUAGAGAUCAUUCAAUAAAGCACCAAUGUAUAAAGGCCGUUUUGGAUAGUAUCUUUCUCGGCCAUGACCAUUUGAUCAAUGGAUCAAAAUGAAUAGAAAUGGAGGUGCCCCCUAGCCUAGAUAGACAAAGGUACUAUACAUGUACCAUAGAUUCAUCGUCAUGCCAUUCCAUGUUUGAACAGGAUAAUAUACCGAUGAUGAGUAAAUAGGUGGAAAGUACACUGGUCUCAUAGAAUGAAUAGGCGAUGCUUGUUGUGUCGCCUUUCGGGUCGUUUUGUUUGACCGUUUUGUUUUAGCAGGUGACCGGGGUUUCUUUGUUGACCGAUCACGUGGAACAGUCUUUUUGCUAGUAUUUUUGGAGAGCAACUGAUCAAAAGUAGGAUCGGCUUUGAUCAGCCGAUUAUAUGUGCUUUGACCUUGCGUCUUUUUCCUUGCUUUGUGUAGAGGUUGACGCCUUUGGUCAUAGGUGGACUGUCCGGCUGAGUUAGCCGGACCGUUUGUCUGAGCACCGGAUUGUCCGCACGUAGGUGUCGGACCAUCUACGAUGCUGGGGCUAGGCUGAUGUGUUUGGUUUAUUAACUGUGCCUGCCCCCCGGC